AUUGAACGCUGGCGGCAUGCUUUACACAUGCAAGUCGAACGGUAACAGGCCUUCGGGUGCUGACGAGUGGCGAUCGGGUGAGUAAUGCAUCGGAACGUGCCCAGAGGUGGGGGAUAACGCAGCGAAAGCUGUGCUAAUACCGCAUGUGAUCUGAGGAUGAAAGCGGGGGACCAGGCAGCAAUGUUUGGCCUCGCGCCUUUGGAGCGGCCGAUGUCAGAUUAGGUAGUUGGUGGGGUAAAGGCCUACCAAGCCGACGAUCUGUAGCUGGUCUGAGAGGACGACCAGCCACACUGGGACUGAGACACGGCCCAGACUCCUACGGGAGGCAGCAGUGGGGAAUUUUGGACAAUGGGCGCAAGCCUGAUCCAGCAAUGCCGCGUGCGGGAAGAAGGCCUUCGGGUUGUAAACCGCUUUUGUACGAAACGAAAAGGCUCUGGCUAAUACCUGGGGCUGAUGACGGUACCGUAAGAAUAAGCACCGGCUAACUACGUG
rnacentral:rRNA from 1 species